rnacentral:lncRNA from 1 species
CAAUAUUUUAAGUCAUACUUUUCUACAUUUUUAGCUUCUUAAGUUCAUGAUUGUUGAGAUUUACUGUUACAAGUUUGCUUUUUGUUGUGGUAACAGACUAAGUAAAAUCGUGAUUGACUCUUGAAGUUAAGGACAUCAAAAUAAUUUAGUUUGUUAUGAUAAAGAUAAAUGACUUACUGCAUUUUUAGUUUGCAUUAUAAUGGUGAACAGAAAGACCAGCUUAUUUCUCAUAAUGUUAGGAUUGAAAUUUAAGAGGAAUAUUAAACAGCGAAUUUGAUCAGCUUGAACACUGAAGCUAUCCAUAUUAAAAAUCAAAUGUGUUGUAUUAUUUGCAUUUAGAAAUGUAGUUCUUUAUACAUGUACCAACUUUGUAUAUUAAUAAUACAGUUUCGAG